UACGUAGGGGGCAAGCGUUGUCCGGAUUUAUUGGGCGUAAAGAGCUCGUAGGCGGCCAGUUGCGUCUGCUGUGAAAUCCCGGGGCUCAACCCCGGGCGUGCAGUGGAUACGGGCUGGCUAGAGGCAGGCAGGGGAGAACGGAAUUCCCGGUGUAGCGGUGAAAUGCGCAGAUAUCGGGAGGAACACCGGUGGCGAAGGCGGUUCUCUGGGCCUGUACUGACGCUGAGGAGCGAAAGCGUGGGGAGCGAACAGG
rnacentral:rRNA from 1 species